UGCGCAGGCGGUUCGUUGUGUCGGCGGUGAAAGCCCCGGGCUUAACCUGGGAAUGGCCGUUGAAACUGGCGAACUGGAGUGUGGCAGAGGGGGGUGGAAUUCCACGUGUAGCAGUGAAAUGCGUAGAGAUGCGGAGGAACACCGAUGGCGAAGGCAGCCCCCUGGGCUAACACUGACGCUCAGGCACGAAAGCGUGGGGAGCAAACA
rnacentral:rRNA from 1 species